AUGACUGUUGGGAACGGCCUGACGGCCCUGUUCUGGGAGGAUCGCUGGAUCAACGGUCAGUCCAUAUGCGAGCUGGCACCUCUGCUCUACACGUGCAUCCCCAAACGGCGCCGAAAUUCUAGGACGGUGGCGGAAGGGCUGCUCGGGAACUCCUGGGCGCGUGACAUCCAGGGAGUCCUCGGCCUCCACGAAAUAGGCCAAUACCUGAUGAUCUGGCAGAAGGUGAACCAUAUUGUCCUAUCGAACGACCCUGACCGGUUGCUCUGGAGGUGGACUGCUAACGGCUCGUACUCGGCACAGUCCUGCUAUGCGGCCACCUUCCAUGGCUCCAUGCGAUGCACCUCCUGGAAGCUUACCCGGAAAAGCUGGGCGCCACCACGAGUCAAAUUUUUCCACUGGUUGGCGAAUCAAGAUCGCUGUUGGACGGCGGAAAGGCUUGCUCGUCGCGGACUGCAGCAUCACCCCAGGUGCCUUCUAUGCGACCAAGCCACGGAAACAAUUCAGCACCUGCUCCUGAACUGCCCCUUCGCUCAUCAAACU
rnacentral:rRNA from 1 species